CUCAUUCAUAUACUGAUAUAUACGGUUAAGAUAACAUGGCAAGCCACGGUAAUGACAACCUUUCUAGCAGUGGCCAAGCUCAGAUGAGAAAAGAUAGCUCAAACACACCUUCUGAUGUCCAUAAUUAGGGCCAAAGCCCCAACUUCCUUCAAGAGGAAGGAUAUGAUUUCUUCAUCUUCAACUUUCUCUGUUAUUGUAAACAAAAAAGAACAAGUCUACAUCUAUUCGCCUCUUACUUCAAAUGGUAACACAUUUCAAGAAGAUAAGGAGAAAAAAAAUCGAUAAUAAUUGAAACUUUGGUAAGCAAAGGAUUUACAGAACAGACAAAGAAGACCGAAAGGAAGAAAAUAAAAGAAAAGUGCAGAGUAGAGUUUUCAGUUUUGUUGGUAUAGUUGACAAGCUUAAAUUUUUAAAAUUUCUGUUUGAUAUUCUUCUUCUUCUUUCUUUUAAAUAUUGUUUUAUUUCACAAUUUUUCUAUAUUUAAUUCAAUUGUAUGCAAUUUAUGAUUGCCUGAUUUUAUCUCAGACAAUCGUAAAAUUGGAACAUGACAUUCCGUAUUGAAAAGUUUGGAAAAAUAGUUUAAUAUUA